rnacentral:tRNA from 1 species
GUCCCUGUGGCUCAGUUGGUAGAGCAUGGUGUUUGCAAUGGUGUUUGCAACGCCAGGGUUGUGGGUUCGAUUCCCACGGGGGGCC